rnacentral:rRNA from 1 species
GACGUAGGGCGCAAGCGUUGUCCGGAUUUAUUGGGCGUAAAGAGCUCGUAGGCGGCUUGCCACGUCUGCCGUGAAAACCAGCAGCUUAACUGUUGGCUUGCGGUUGAUACGGGUUGGCUGGAGUUCGGUAGGGGAGACUGGAAUUCCUGGUGUAGCGGUGAAAUGCGCAGAUAUCUGGAGGAACACCGGUGGCGAAGGCGGCAUCCUGGACCGGUAUUGACGCUGAGGCGCGAAAGCCAGGGGAGCAAACGGG